rnacentral:tRNA from 1 species
GGCACCACUUUUUUAACAGUAUAUAUUCGNAUGGACUGAAAAUCCAUGUGUCGGCGGUUCGAUUCCGUCCUGAGCCACCA